AGCAGCCGCGGUAAUUCCAGCUCCAAUAGCGUAUAUUAAAGUUGUUGUGGUUAAAAAGCUCGUAGUUGGAUCUCAACAGCCUUGAAGCGGUUAACUUUGUAGUUUUACUGCUUUAUAGGCUGUGCUUUUGCUGGAGGUUUAGGGGUGCUCUUGAUCGAGUGUCUCUGGAUGCCAGCAGGUUUACUUUGAAAAAAUUAGAGUGCUCAAAGCAGGCUAAAAUGCCUGAAUAUUCGUGCAUGGAAUAAUAGAAUAGGAUGUCGAUCCUAUUUUGUUGGUUUUCGGGACUCGACAUAAUGAUAAAUAGGGACAGUCGGGGGCAUUUGUAUUCAAACGACAGAGGUGAAAUUCUUGGACCGUUUGAAGACAAACUACUGCGAAAGCAUUUGCCAAGAAUGUUUUCAUUAAUCAAGAACGAAAGUUAGAGGUUCGAAGGCGAUUAGAUACCGCCCUAGUUCUAACCAUAAACGAUGCCAGCUAGCGAUCUGCCUGCGUUUUUACUGUAGACUGGGCAGGAAGCUUCCGGGAAACCAAAGCAUUUGGGUUCCAGGGGAAGUAUGGUUGCAAAGCUGAAACUUAAAGGAAUUGACGGAAGGGCACCACCAGGAGUGGAGCCUGUGGCUUAAUUUGACUCAACACGGGAAAUCUCACCAGGCCCGGACACUGGAAGGAUUGACAGAUUGAUAGCUCUUUCUUGAUUCGGUGGGUGGUGGUGCAUGGGCCGUUCUUAGUUGGUGGAGUGAUUUGUCUGGUUAAUUCCGAUAACGAACGAGACUCUGUCCUGCUAAAUAGUGUCUGCUUCUCUUUUGAGCAGACAAUUCUUCUUAGAGGGACUGGCGACUCUUAGUCGCACGAGAUUGAGCAAUAACAGGUCUGU
rnacentral:rRNA from 1 species